AUCAGAAUGUGGGAAAGGCAGAGCGCUGCCACUGAUUUAGAUCUCAAUGUGGGACCGAGGGUAGCCUUUUACUCCGCGUGGUACAUGUGUUACAGCCUUUAUUUUCACUGGACGUCAAUGUCUGCAUGUCUAAAAAUGGGGGAAGCUCCCUCAUAAAACAACAAGGUCUGCUCUUUACUUACACAAGCACGCAGUGAAUAAUAGUCUUGAAAUUCCCCGUCAAAGAUGCAAGUCAGGCCAACACCAAGAUGAGUGUGCUUCUCAAGGAAACCGCAGGAGAGACUCCUCACACAUGGAACAGCAGUUCUGAUAAAAUGACUGGCAUACCUAAGCAACCAGGCGAUGAAUCAAAGAGGCUCAGUAGAAAUUCAAAGAAAUGCUUGAAUGGGAAGUUUCCAUAAUAACCAAAAAUACACACACCAGCUAUUCUGA